UGGGGAAUCUUGGACAAUGGGGGAAACCCUGAUCCAGCCAUGCCGCGUGAGUGAAGAAGGCCUUAGGGUUGUAAAGCUCUUUCGGCGGGGACGAUAAUGACGGUACCCGCAGAAGAAGCCCCGGCUAACUCCGUGCCAGCAGCCGCGGUAAUACGGAGGGGGCUAGCGUUGUUCGGAAUUACUGGGCGUAAAGCGCACGUAGGCGGAUUGUUAAGUCGGGGGUGAAAUCCUGGGGCUCAACCUCAGAAUUGCCUUCGAUACUGGCAGUCUUGAGUACGGGAGAGGUGAGUGGAAUUCCCAGUGUAGAGGUGAAAUUCGUAGAUAUUGGGAAGAACACCAGUGGCGAAGGCGGCUCACUGGCCCGUAACUGACGCUGAGGUGCGAAAGCGUGGGGAGCAAACA
rnacentral:rRNA from 1 species